CUCUCAUCUCCCUGCCAAGACCUCAAAUAAAAUCGUUUCCUCCUGAAAAUGCCCAUCUCGGAACCUUGGCUGUGCCCCGAGGGAGGCACCGGAAUGGCAAAAGUGAGGACAUACGGCUGCCAGCAUCGUCUAUGCUCUAGAUAGGGGUCAAAUGUCAACUUUCUGCCAGGUCCAGCCCGGAUGUGAGGGCUGUGAAGGCAACAACCAAGGAACCAUUCCUUCGGAUGGAAGUCCUAUGGCAGAGAGAAGCUGAUGUUUGAAUUUUCCUGUAGAGCCCUUGAGGUUCCAUGAAUCAGUCUGGGAAGGAUGCAGGUUAAGUGGGAAGCAGAAGCCCUCAAUCACGUGAUGACGGAAAAGCCGAAAAGGCUGGGUUAUACCCUUAGGAAACCUAUUUGUUUCUUGGCUCCCUGCAGGGGCAUGCACACUAGCAAAGGCUCAAUCCCUUCAUUAUUCAUUUGAUCACAAAAGAAGGAAUGAGAGGAAAAAUACUUUUAUUUUUCACCAAGCAAUCACCAAGCGCAGACCCUUUCUUGAAGUCUGCCCAAGGACCAUCAACUUCACAAUGGAGAAAGAAAAAGGCUACCUCCAAUAACACUGCUGACAGAUCAGUCCAUGGUCUUCCAAAUGAGAAUCACAGCAGUUUCUACUAAGGGUUUUGCUCUAAUCCUAACAUUUCUGGCUACAGGCAUGGGUCUUCCCUUGCAGGGAAUGAGAGGUGUUCUGGGUUUCACCUCAUCUACAUCCAUCCCCAUCACUCAGGUGUUACUGGUUUUGAAGGGAUGAAGGGAACAUAAAGAGCAGCUGAGGCUUGGCACUCUGAGAGGCCAUGGAAGGCCAUUGGUGAAGAUGCAGCCUCAGUUGCACUUGACAGCCCAGGACUGAAGGGGUCAUGAAAAGAAGUUGAGGCUUGGCACCAUGGAGAGAACCUAUGAGAGGUUAUUGGUGAAGCCUCGUUGCAGUAGAAGGCCCCAGAGUAUUGGAGAUACCAGUACUGUAGGAAGCCAACUCUAAGAUGGCUCUGGGCACCAGGUGUGCCAUUGUCAUAAACAACAUCAGCGCAGAUGUAAGUCCGAGUCUGGCGCCAACCCCUCCGGAGCGGGUGCAUGCAAAUUAGGUGCCGGCAGACUGACCAAUCCCAGGGGGCCAUGAAGCCUUUCCCUGUGCUGGAGAGUAUAUAAGCAGACCUCCCUGGGUUCCCUAGGUCCCUGUAGCAGCAUUGAGGCAUUCCUGCAAUAAAGGCUGUUGAGAAGAAUCUGGCCGUUGUGUCUUUCUUGCUGGUCAAGAGCAGACACAACACAGUACCAUGGGAUGAUCACCAAGAACAGCAGCAACAGUGGAGUGGAUCACUCUGAACUUAGAAUGCCACCGAGGGCAGUGCUGGAGAAGUGACACCAGCCCUUUGGAGAAUCCCAGAAGAUUAUGUGUGGAUCCCAGACAUUGAAACAAGAAGCUGUAACAUUGAAUUUUCCUUGGAGACCCCAAGAUGUUUGAGAUGCCAGAGCCAUGAACUAUCUGCUGAGGAAAUCUGCUAACAGGGAGUGGAACCAGCCCAAGAGAAAGAAGUUUGUUGCAGUCAACAAAGAUAAAAAAGAGGUUGGAGAUCUGAAGAGAGUUUUGACAUCAGACAUGAAGAUCCAAAGUUUGGAGUUUACCCAUUUGGUUUCCUGUCUUGCUUUGGAGAUUACAUUUCAUCCACAGGUAAAGGAACCCAAGCUGGGCCCAAUGCCAAGUGCACUUCUUCAAUGUUACAUUCUGGGACAGGAGAGAGGAUCACUGGUUGAGCCUACCUACUCUGUGGACACAUUGUAAUCCUGAAACUGUUCUGAGCUUCCAUUCAUGGCCAGGACACCUGAUCACUUCAUCGUUGGGUUCUGUGUUUGAAAACUGGGCCAGCUCUGAACCUGGGUGACAGAACACACUGUGGAGAAACCUUGUCUCUAGGAUCUUGCUCAUACACUCUUGGCUCCUCUUGCUCUGGUGGAGCUCCUCAGUGCCCACUGGGAAAGUGAUCUGGCUCCCAAGACCACCAGCCUGUUCAAGUCAUGGAUGGCACCAGUUUUCACAGGCUGAGUGAUUAGAAAACAGACUCUGGGACAGCUGUGUACAUAAGAGUCAUCUGGGCAUUGCUCUUACAAUCCCUGUAGAAGACAAGAGCUCAGAUUGACCCACCCGAAGUCCCUGGGAUUCACUUCUUCACCCUUCACACCUCGGCUUGCAGAAACAAGAUGCCACGUUUGACUUUAUGUGGUUGCUGGGAACAUGAAUUUGGGUCCUAGGGUUUACAAGUCAAGCACUUUACCCAUUGACCAUCUCCCUAGCCGUGUGACUGGCUUCUUUACCUUCAUGAUAACUACUCAUCAGCUAUAUUUUAAUCUGGCAAGGGGACUUGAAUUUGAAUGAGAUGACUCUAGUUAAAUAGUUUUGAUGAGGAGUGACAACUGAAGGCUCUUCGGGGCUAAAGGGAUACUUAGGUGUUGUGUUCCAUCCCCACCCCUGUUGACUAUAUAGGGCGAUACAAUGACUAACACAGGCUGGACACUUUAGAAGACAAACUUCAGACAAUUCCCCACCAAAAGGAUGUAUACCCUGGUUAUGGGUUUUUGGUUUGGGAGACUAUGUAUGCUAAGAUGAAUGUAGCUUGAUGAGUUGGGAAGACACUACAUAUGAGAUGAGCCAUGGUAAAGACUGCAUAAAGACAGGGGCAGACUUGGAUCUUUCCUUUCUCGGUUGCUAAAUGACUGAAAAAGCCUUUUAACCCCAUAGACCUUCUGCUCAUCUAAACAGAGUGGAGGUUGGCACUAUCUAAGACAUAUAAAGAACCGUCAAAACUCAGUGAUUAAAAUAUUAGACUAGGAAACUUAGAAAAGACAGAUCUGCCACUAAAGAGGCUAUAAAGAUGACAAAGUAGUAUAUGAAAAGAGGAUCAACAGCAUAAGCCAUCAUAGAAACACUCAGUAAACAUACAGUAUGAUACACUAAGGAGUUGAGGGGUCACUCAGUGGUUAGGGGCACAGAGGACUCUGCCAGAGGACUUGAGUUCACUUCCCAUCUCAUGUGGUUCGCAAUUGCCUAUAACUCCAGCUCCAAGGGUGAGGAUGGUCUUCCACACACACAUGCACACACACACACACACACACACACACACACACACACACACACACAUACACACAUACAUGCACAAAUGCGCAUGCUCACACACAAACACAUACUCACAUAUAUAAAUAAAAUAGAGAUCCUACCCUACUAUCAGAAUGGUUCAAAAAAUUUAAGGACAUCAACAAACACUGGCAAGGAUGUCAGACUCAUACGCAGCUACUGAGAAUGUAAAAUGGGACAAUCAGUCUAAAAACUGCAUUGAUGUCUCUAGGAAAUCAAACAUAUGCCUGCCAUAUGACCCAGAAAACAUUUUCCUAAGGCAUUUAUCCAAGAGAAGUGAAAGUGCACAAAAUCUACAUAUGCAUUUUCAUAUAUGUUGAUUUUCAAUAACUAGAAAUAACCCAAGCAUCUCACAACAAGCGAGCAAUUAGACAAACUACCAAGUCCACAUUCAGAAAUACUACUCACCAAUAGCAAUGAGAACAGUGUCGGUCUACACAACAACUCAGGUGGAUAUCAAGAGAAUCAUGCUGGGGAGGGAAAUUUCAGACUUCCGUAUGGUGUUUGAUAAAAUUUAUGCAACAUUCUUAAAAUUAAUCAAAGUAUAAAUCUGGAGACAUAUUAUUGCUGGUCACAGGUCGGGAGAAGGGACAGGUGGCAGUUGGUUCUAAAAGGUAUCACAAGAGGCCACUGAUGGGACGAGUCUAAGUUUGACUAUGGUGGUUUUCUUUUUCUCGGUUUUCUUUUUCUAUGAUAAACACCAUUACCAAACGCAAUUUGGAGAGGAAAGGGUUUGUUUCAUCUGACAGGAGACAGAUUGAAAGCAGGACCUUAAAGCAGAAACCACAGAGGGAUGCCCUUUAGUGGUUUGCUCCGUGUUCAGCUAGCUUUCUUAGACAACCUAAGCGACCUGCCUAGGGAAGAUGCUCCCCGUAGUAAACUGGACAGAGAAGGUACCACACACAUCCCCAUAGGCAACCUGAUGGAGGCCAUCCCUUAACCGGCAGGUUCUUUCUUCCCAAGUGUAUCUCAUAGAGAGGCACACGAGUCUCUCCACAUAACAAAGUUACAGACAGAGUGGCACCGGCCUAAAAUCUCAACUACGCAGGUGACAGAGGCAGAAGGAUUGCAAGUUUCAGGUAUGCCUGUGUUACAGAUUGGGAUCAACGCUACCUUGGGCAACUUAAGUCAGAUGGAACCAGAAGGCUGGGGAUACAUCUCAGCGGUAGAGCACUGGCUUAGCCUGUGUAGGUCAGUUUCUAGUAUGGCAAGCAAUCAAUGAAUAGCUGAAAAUAUGCAUGUCUAAGCACAGGGCAAAACUAUGAAACCUGGAUAUGACUAGUAUAGUCUGUCAAUUUUCUGGUUGUGAAGUGGUGUUGUGGUUAUGCAAUCUGUUGCCAACUAAUAAAAACUGGUAUGCAUAUGAAAAAAAAAAAAAAAAAA
rnacentral:lncRNA from 1 species